UUUAUGGAGAGUUUGAUCCUGGCUCAGGAUGAAUGCUGGCGGCGUGCCUAACACAUGCAAGUCGAGCGGUAACAGGUCUAGUUUACUAGAUGCUGACGAGCGGCGGACGGCUGAGUAACGCGUGGGAAUGUGCCCCAAAGUGAGGAAUAACUGCCCGAAAGGGUAGCUAAUACCGCAUAUGAUCUUCGGAUUAAAGGAUUUAUCCGCUUUGGGAGCAGCCCGCGUUCGAUUAGGUAGUUGGUGAGGUAAUGGCUCACCAAGCCCACGAUCGAUAGCUGGUCUGAGAGGAUGACCAGCCAGACUGGAACUGAGACACGGUCCAGACUCCUACGGGAGGCAGCAGUGAGGAAUCUUCCACAAU
rnacentral:rRNA from 1 species